AACGCGAAGAACCUUACCUACUCUUGACAUCCAGAGAACUUAGCAGAGAUGCUUUGGUGCCUUCGGGAACUCUGAGACAGGUGCUGCAUGGCUGUCGUCAGCUCGUGUUGUGAAAUGUUGGGUUAAGUCCCGCAACGAGCGCAACCCUUAUCCUUUGUUGCCAGCGAUUCGGUCGGGAACUCAAAGGAGACUGCCAGUGAUAAACUGGAGGAAGGUGGGGAUGACGUCAAGUCAUCAUGGCCCUUACGAGUAGGGCUACACACGUGCUACAAUGGCGUAUACAAAGAGAAGCGAUCUCGCGAGAGCAAGCGGACCUCAUAAAGUACGUCGUAGUCCGGAUUGGAGUCUGCAACUCGACUCCGUGAAGUCGGAAUCGCUAGUAAUCGUAGAUCAGAAUGCUACGGUGAAUACGUUCCCGGGUCUUGUACACACCG
rnacentral:rRNA from 1 species